ACACGUCUGGCACGUCUUCUGACUUUCGCCAUCUUGCUUUUUUCCUGUCCAUGAGCAUCUCCGCUGUGCAAAAUCAUUACUGACGCAAAUUGACAACAAAUAUUAAUCGAGCCAUCUACACAGGCAAAUAAAAAUGGCUACAUACACUUGCCACAUAAAAAUUGCUCGUGUAAAUGGGGUCUUACUUAGCAUUUCCAAGCUAGGACGAACCGGUUUACUCUUGAUUACAAAGCACUGAUAUUGCUACUCAAGCAAAAAGGUGGUAGUGCCGACAAAUAUAGCAAUGAACUUUGCAAGCGAGGAUUGGACACAUGCAGAGUGCUGUGUAUUCUGCAAAGUUAUGAAGGAAUGUGCCUGUCCUGAUGUUCCUCGUGGGGAAGCCUUUGGUGAGUGUUUCCCAAAGAGCAAAGCAAAUAUUGG